AAUAUUAUUAGCCAACAUGUUAUAUUAUUGACCAGUAAAAGCUUGUCAGGCUUUCAGCCAAAUUUCCCCAGCUAAAUACCCAAACUUCACCUACACAGACUUAAUGAAUAUGAGAACUGUCUGAGCGUUGUCUCUGAUGGUUCAUGCGUGAGUCAGGAACAUUUGGGUCUCGGCUGGUCAAGGUUGUUCCUCUGCUGUAUUUGGAUCAGUGCCUGCAGACGAGACAGCUGACUUUAUUUUGUGUAAUUGAAAAGAGUUUGUGUGGGAGAAAAAAGGGCUGGAAAACAGUGGGCCGUCAAGUCCUACUCUAAUUAAGACAGGAGCUGCCAUGGUGCUUUCCAUUACACCAAACAGUCCGCUGGAUCUGAGAACAGAAGCUGCAUAUAGCAGAUUAGCUGACUGACUUUAGAACAAGCCAUGAUGAGAAUAAACAGCGUUGAUGGUCUCAAAAAUAACUGCAAGCUUGAAACAACGUGGGUCAUCAGCAUUGCAGAGUCUCUGUAGCGGCAGCUUAUUCCCUCUCUUCAAAAAACAGGUUUGUUUCGCCAGACACACUUCAUCAACGGGACAAAGAUGAGGCCAUUAUCGAGAAAAAUAAUUGAAGCGUUAAAGAUCCAUAAAGGGCGAUCAAAGAUGUCAUCCCUCAAUUCAUCCGUCCCUUGAUGCAAGUCAACAUGAUUGCAGUGAAACAUCAGAUGGCUCUAAUUGCAAAAAACAAAAUCUUUUGUUGAUUGCCGAGACCUGGCCGACAGGUUGCCCACUGGGAUUUUAAAGAUGUAUAACCAAAUCUCCUUCAAGUGCCGGUGUUAAAAAGCCCUCUCUGUGGGUUUUGCAUGAAUACAGUUGAUUAUUCACAGAGAGCCAAACCAUGAUUACAAUCAGGUUGUAUUACUGUGAUCAACACGGUAUGACAUUCAAUCAGGGGUUUUAAUCGAGAGAAUGAACGAUAGCAAUCAGUUUGUUAGAGCCAAAUAGUCUAUUCUUGCCAGAAAUUCACACUAUAUUUACCAGAAGCUAUGAUAAGGAAUAAAAUAUGUCAUAAUUAUGGUCUGUUUUGAAAACAGUUCAUUGUCCAAAAGUCAGAAUUAAUGUCAAAAAGUUAAAAUAUAUUUAAUUGAAAAGAAUUCAUGACACUAUCCUUGUUGAGGCCUAGAAAGACAACAAAGUCUGAAAAUAUUUUGUCUGAGAGCAUAUAAUGUGAUUUUUUUUUUCUUAGAGGACACAAAAAGGACAAAUUAAAUCUAUUCACGUACUUCCAUUCACUCACAGUCUGACCGACCCAUUUACUGUAUGUGUUUUUGUCUUCACCCUGCAAACAUUUCACACUUCUGCACUGUGAGACUCAAUAUGCCUCCCAAGAUUUAUUCUUUUGUAUUUAUUUGCAUACUGAGAUCUCCCUCACUUGUCUUUUAUCAAAAGUCUUUCUAUGAAUACAAUUUGUAUUUAAUGAUCUUAUGUGGACUCUCUUGUCAAAAAUUUUUAAGCUACAAUGGGCCAAGCUCUGUCUGAGAAGCUAAAUAAACAUACGCGAAGAAUGGUGAAUCCAGAACUACGGUUUUAAGUUUUUAUACAUUGUGACCAGUAGGUGGUGCUUUGCAAAUACAUUUUUUAAUAACACAUUCUUUCUGUUUUCAGUGUUGUGGUAAUGCUUUUUUAUUCAAAAUGGCAGAUACACAAAAAUGAAACAAUUUUCUAGAUUUUUUGACUGGCAGGUUGUUGUAAUAGCUAGAGCUGCACGAUUCAAGAUAAAUCAAGAACCACAUUUUUUUU